rnacentral:rRNA from 1 species
UACAGAGGGUGCAAGCGUUAUUCGGAUUCACUGGGCGUAAAGGGUGCGCAGGCGGUUGGGUGUGUCAGAUGUGAAAUCCCGAGGCUUAACCUCGGAACUGCGUCUGAAACUACUCGACUAGAGUACUGGAGAGGGAAACGGAAUUCACGGUGUAGCAGUGAAAUGCGUAGAUAUCGUGAGGAACACCAGAGGCGAAGGCGGUUUCCUGGACAGUUACUGACGCUCAGGCACGAAAGCAUGGGGAGCAAAAGGG